rnacentral:misc_RNA from 1 species
GUUGAGUUGUGGUCUAUCCUAGAUUCCUAAUAUUGAAAUCAUAUUAACACAGGACACACUGGCUGUAUUUUGGUACUAAAAUGCAUACAUGGCAUGGGCUCCUAAGCAUUUGAUUGUUUUAAGCAUCUUUUAAUAGCAUGGAUUCAGGAAAAGGGAUGUGGGUUCUGCUAAAUACACUACUUUGCAAUCCAUGUUUUGAACUUGAAUACUUUCUACAUGGCAAUAAUUGAAUUUUAUGGAUAUCAUCCUUGCAAUUGAACAAGAAUCCUUUUUAUACACCACUUCUGUUCAUCCCUGUAUUGUUUUGUUGGUUUACCUUCAUUUGUGUGUUUGGAGAUGGUUGUGCGUCUUCUACCUUCCAUUUCUGCCCCCUAUUGUGCUUAGUUUUUCACUUCUUCCCUUGCACAGGUUAUUGCUAUCAGGGACAUUAUA